rnacentral:rRNA from 1 species
AUGAGACAUGAGCAACCCACUCGCGGCCGAGCUGAGCAGGCAGUGAGAGCGACGGGGGAGAUCGCGAGCCCCGGCGGGCCGGAGGUGCUGGAGGAGAGCGAGGUGGAGGACCUCCCGGCGCCGGGGGACGGCGAGGUGCUCCUCAGGGUGGCCGCCGCCGGCGUCAACCGCCCGGGGGUCGAGUGCUCCGGCUCCAUCCUCGCCCUCGGGGCCAACGUCCACCCGCGCUGGGCCGUCGGCGACCAGGUGUGCGCGCUGCUUAACGGCGGCGGGUACGCGGAGAAGGUGGUGGUGCCGGCGGGGCAGCUUCUCCCGGUGCCGGAGGGGGUGUCGCUGACGGACGCCGCCGGCUUGCCCGAGGUGGCCUGCACCGUCUGGUCCACCGUCUUCAUGAGCAGCCACCUCUCCCCCGGCGAAUCCUUCCUUAUCCACGGUGGAUCAAGCGGAAUCGGUACAUUUGCUAUACAGAUGGCAAAGCACCUCGGAAUCAAGGUUUUUGUUACUGCAGGAAGCCAAGAGAAACUAGAUGCUUGUGCAGGUUUGGGUGCGGAUGUAUGCAUAAACUACAAAACCGAAGACUUUGCAGCAUGUAUCAAAGAAGAAACUAAUGGAAAUGGAGGUGAUGUCAUUCUGGACAACGUCGGCGGAUCAUAUCUCCAGCGCAAUCUGGACAGCUUAGCAGUUGAUGGUAGGCUUUUCAUCAUUGGUUUCAUGGGAGGCAGCGUGACUGAAGUGAACCUGCAGGCGAUGCUUGCCCGAAGAUUGACCAUACAAGUUGCUGGGCUGCGGAGCAGAAGCCUUGCCAAUAAAGCUCAGAUCGUCAGCGAGGUGGAGAGAAAUGUAUGGCCAGCCGUUGCGUCGGGCAAUGUGAAGCCGGUGGUUUACAGGACACUCCCUCUAUCUGAGGCAGCUGAAGCUCACAAGCUGAUGGAGUCAAGCUCCCACAUUGGCAAGAUACUACUGAUUCCAUGA